UGACCACUUACUUUUGAAAGUAAGUUAAAGCCAUACGGACAGCUGGGUCAAAUGCCGA
rnacentral:sRNA from 1 species